ACAACGCAGAGUGAGUCAGAAUUCUGAUCUCUUAUCUGAAAAUUUGCAGCAACUUCUUGGUUAUUGACAGGAGUAGCUUCUAUGUGCUUAAUACUUAAUUUCACCCUUAUUAAAAUAGUUCAAUUUAGUUUAUUUUUUAUUUUUUUUUGUCUAUAUUAAUCGAAAAGUUUCAAUUUAAUACCUAUAUUUCAAAAAGACUUCAGCAUUAGUCCUUGCAAUUAACAAAGACACAGGCCUUUUUCGCGACCAUGACAGCAACGCUUGGUGUCAUCUUGAAGAAGAACACGUCUUGGGGUAGCCGCGUCUUAAAUCCUCGAUUGUUGAAUACCUCUGCAACAUAGACCAUGCCAUGAAUUCUUAGCAUGGCUACCAGUUGUCAAAAUAAUUAGCCAAUGACAUGGGCAUUCUCUGAACUAGAAUUCAUUGCGUUUGGGCUUGUUGGAUUCUUCUUGAUCUAAGCUAGAUGUUAGUGGAGCCUUUUCCUUCAGACCUUACGAUUUGGUAAAGAUUUUUUAAAGUGAUGUGUUGAGAGAAAUAGAAAGUUUUUAAAGGUAUUUAAAAGUUUUAAAUAGAUUUACCUCCUUUG
rnacentral:lncRNA from 1 species